CCUAGCUAACUAAGAUAGGAGCGUCUUUCCAAUUACCAAGCCGACAUCUUAGCCACUGGGCUGCACAUUAAAAUUGUUGGGACCUUCACCAAUUUCAAUAUCAUUAACUUCUGUCAGCAAGUUCCCAAGAGGAUCCUCAUACUCAAUGUUACCAUGCAUCAUCCCCACAAAGUAUGCAUCACCGUGUGCAGGUGAAGGAUUCUGUGAAAUAUUUUUGGUGUCACUAUCCUGGACCACUAUUAUCCCUUCCUGAACCAUUCUUUCUAUCUCUCAUUUCAAAUCCCGACAACUUUUGACAUUGUGCCC
rnacentral:lncRNA from 1 species